rnacentral:rRNA from 1 species
UGGGGAAUCUUGCACAAUGGGGGAAACCCUGAUGCAGCGACGCCGCGUGAACGAUGAAGCCCUUCGGGGUGUAAAGUUCUUUCGACAGGAACGAUAAUGACGGUACCUGGAGAAGAAGCUGCGGCUAACUACGUGCCAGCAGCCGCGGUAAUACGUAGGCAGCGAGCGUUGUUCGGAGUUACUGGGCGUAAAGAGUGCGUAGGCGGCGAGCCAAGUUUGGUGUGAAAUCUCCCGGCUUAACCGGGAGGGUGCGCCGAAAACUGGUUGGCUGGAGUAUGGGAGAGGAAAGCGGAAUUCCGGGUGUAGCGGUGCAAUGCGUAGAUAUCAGGAGGAACACCUGCGGUGUAGACAGCUUUCUGGACCAAAACUGACGCUGAGGCACGAAAGCGUGGGUAGCAAACA